rnacentral:lncRNA from 1 species
CUUGUGGUGUACUAACAUAGCUACAUAAAUUGUACCAAAUGCAAUGAAAGUUGUAUGACAAGAAUGGAAUGAACAAGGGUAGUAAUAUACAUCCGUGUCAUUUUUUGGCUUUAGAUCUGCUUGUGCAACUAUGUGUCACUUGACUGGCACCUCUAACUCUUUUUUCUCUCUCUUUUUAUUUCAUCUUGUCAAAUAUAUCUUUAGACUCUAGCUUUCAUCAGUUUCAUUGCCUUUUGACUCAUAUGUUUUAUUAAUUAAUUUUUCCAGUUGAGUUUCACAGUACUAUCAUGUUCAAUUCAUCUUGAUUUAUUAUUCCAUGGAGCUCCAACUUCAUACACCUUUUUAUGUGGAUUCGUUUCUUCUCUGUAUUCGACUUCUUCUUUUUUUACAGAAUAUUGAAGCUCUAAUGAUGGAUUAUUAUUCUCUACCAGGAUGUCUCUCGAGCUCGCUUGACGGGUUGAUUAAUCUGUUGGCGUUCUACAAUUUACGGUGAGCUUGAAUAAUAUUUCUUUAAUGUUUUCUUUUCUGAAGUCAUCUAAAACUAAUGUAUUGAAAUGGGAAGAAUUUGAUGCAACUAACGUAUUUGAAAAUACGCCUACAAGAAGUGUUUUUGACGCAACUAACGUAUUUGACAAUACGCCUUAAAGAAGUGUAAAACAAGUUUAUAGCUAAAAUUUGUACAAUUUCCUCCUCAAGUCUUUUUGUAUGACUUUUGUGGUGGUAAAACUGAAAAUAUUUCAGGCAUGAUUACGUUAACAAGAUGAAUUGUUGAAGGUGUAAGAUCUGUGUGAGGCUCAUAAGAAAAUUCAUUUGCUCAAGUUGCAAUUACAACCUGAGCAUGUUAAUUAAUUAGCGCCUCUGUUGUGCAACUUAAUUUGUAGGUCCAAUGUUGUAUGUUUGUGAGAACUCUAAGCUUCUGCUAUAAGAAAGUAUUUCAAUUUGUUAAUUUCAGUACCGAUGCGGACAUUUGCAUUUACUUUGAGCGGAAAGAAAAGUCAUUGCAAAGAUGAGAUAUUUUGAAUUAUACUCUUUCAAACAACUUGAUCUCCUAAUUUAAAAUAGGAAAGAAUCUAAUAAUUUUGUAUUGAUGUGAAUUAUGGCCUUACAGGUUCUUGAACAAGCAGAGAUGAUUGAGCUUUUGCUGUGGUUUAACCAUAUCAACUCCUUUUAUGCAACUUGCAAUACCCGUUAUGUUUCUUAAUGAGACAUGAUGACUUGAUUGUUGAGUGCAGGCACUUGAUGGCAAAGCUGCAAGUCACGAAGAUGGAGCAUGUUUUCCGUGAACAAAACAGAGUAGCCGACAGA